rnacentral:rRNA from 1 species
AAAGCAGGGGCAACCCUGUGAGUACAGUGGCGUACGGGUGAGUAACACGUGGGUAAUCUACCCUUGAGUGGGGAAUAACGCUGGGAAACCGGCGCUAAUACCGCAUAAGCUCGGAAGAGGAAAGUCGCAAGACGCUGAAGGAGGAGCCCGCGGCCGAUUAGCCAGUUGGUGAGGUAAAAGCUCACCAAAGCGAAGAUCGGUAGCCGGCCUGAGAGGGCACACGGCCACACUGGCACUGAAACACGGGCCAGACUCCUACGGGAGGCAGCAGUGGGGAAUCUUGCACAAUGGGGGAAACCCUGAUGCAGCGACGCCGCGUGAGCGAUGAAGCCCUUCGGGGUGUAAAGCUCUUUCGGCAGGGACGAUUAUGACGGUACCUGCAGAAGCAGCUGCGGCUAACUACGUGCCAGCAGCCGCGGUAAUACGUAGGCAGCGAGCGUUGUUCGGAGUUACUGGGCGUAAAGGGUGUGUAGGCGGUUCUCUAAGUUUGGUGUGAAAUCUCCCGGCUCAACCGGGAGGGUGCGCCGAAAACUGGAGGGCUAGAGUGCGGGAAGGGAGAGUAGAAUUCCUGGUGUAGCGGUGAAAUGCGUAGAUAUCAGGAGGAAUACCGGUGGUGCAGACGGCUCUCUGGACCGCGACCGACGCUGAGACACGAAAGCGUGGGUAGCAAACAGGAUUAGAUACCCUGGUAGUCCACGCCCUAAACGAUGCAUAUUUGGUGUAGGUCAUUCAGUUGAUCUGUGCCGGAGCUAACGCGUUAAAUAUGCCGCCUGGGGAGUACAGUCGCAAGGCUGAAACUC